ACGACCUUACUUAAACAAGAUCUUUCCCGUCGUACCUUUGUAUCCUUGAGUUCUAUGGAGGCAGGUCUCAAGUCUGGUGGAUGAAUUCAACCAUGUGAUCAACACGUGAUUGACAACGAUUGUAGGUGGUCUAGUCCAGAUGUAGUAGAGUAUCAUUCUCAAUUGGUUUAAUUGGGAUGGUCACAUGGUUGUUUGACUAACU
rnacentral:snoRNA from 1 species